UUUUUUUUUUUUUUUUUUAAAAAGAGUUGUUUGCCUGUGGUGAUAGAAUUCAAGAGAAAAUAUAUUGGAACUGGACUUGGCACAAUUGGUCACUAAUAGAUUACCUUUUUGGAACAUUAAUAAUUAGUACUGUGUUAUGACUUUAUUAGUGGAACUUUUCAUUUUAUUUUCAAGUUGUGAUUAACCCUAUAAAAUAUUUAUUUUCAUAAGUAAUUAAUUUAUCUAUUAGAAAUUAAGAUAAUUAUAUAUAUAUAUAUAUAUAUAUAUAUAUAUAUUAUUUCACUUUUAAAUCACGUCAGAUGAAUUGGGUUUCUUUUUUAUUAGUUUAGCUUGUUCAAUUGUGGACUGAUUGCGCGCUAACGAAUCAGUUUUUAUAGUGAGUUAUGAUGAGUUUUGAAUCUGACUCUCUUAUAAGAUUUGAUUAUGGUUUGAAUGUCAAUAACUUAUACUUUAUAUCUAAUCGAUGAGCGAAAAUCAAAUCAUUUCCAAAUUAUAGUUAUAAAUGAAUUAAAAUUGAUUAAAAAAUAAAUCUACUUUUUUAUUGAUGAAGCAUGACUCACAUUUAUAUUAUAUAGAUUUGGAUGCAUAAAGCAUAUAUAAACCAACACCAAAACUUGCAAUAAUUUGUCUAAAUUAAAAUAAUUUUAAAAAUUUUAAUUAAUUUAAUCUAACUUCACCUAAUUAUAGAAAGUUGGUAGAGGAUUUGUUAUGCACAUAAUUAACUGCUCCUUUUUUUUCUUUCCAUAUUUGACAAAUUUUCAGAUUCUGGUCCACUUCUGGCUGGGAAGACCAUCCCGGCCAGCCUAAUUCAUUGGUGAAUCCAAAUAAAAAAAAUAUUUAUAAUUUUAAUCUAGUUAAAUUAUGUUUGGAAGAAUUUUUUUUUUAUUAACAUUUAGGAUUUAAAAUAAUAAUAUAAUUUGAAAUUUGAAUUCAAUAUAAAUCUGUUUAACAUUCAUCUUCAUUUUAAAUUUAGAAUUAAAAUAUUUUAGCUAAAUAAAAUACUUUAAAAUUUCAAAUCCAUAAAUUAAACAUAAUUUUCUAAAUUUUGCCUUUUUAAUAAAAAAACCACUAGUUGUUUUUUUCCAUAUUGCACGAGUAAUUUACUAUAAUAUAAUUUAAUAGUUAAUUUGAUAAUUCAUAUUUUUAAAUUAUAUUAUAAUUUUUUUACAAUAAAAUUCUCAAGCACACUAUUUUUUUACAAUUUUUUAAGAUAUUUUUUAUCUUUAAAAUCAAUUAUAUAAUUUUAUGAUACUAAACUUAUCAUCUUAAAAAAUUAACAUUUUAAUUCGGAAACGAGACAUUUUAGAAUUAACCUAAAGUUUUUCAUAUAUAAUGAUUCGAUUUUGCCUAAAGAAAUACGACUCUGUAGAUGGCUUUGCAAACAAAAAUAACCUAAACCCGCGUGACACGUUCUCGGGUCACGAUGAGUUGGAUUCGGAACACUACGGGCCGCAGAUCGUAACUCUAGAAAGUCUUGGGCUUCCGUUCGAGAAUUUAAAAGACAUUGGGCUACAAGUGGGCCUGACAAAAGGCCCACGCCCACUGCCUACAAAAGAUCCCUUAUCCUUGUCCAUCUGUUGAAAUAUUCCACUGCAAAAUUCAAUUCCCCCGUAUAUGCUCCAAACAAGACUGACACUAUCUCCUCUAACCCUAACUUUCCGCUUAAGCGCCAUCUGCUUAAAGGACGAAGCCGAUUAAUGCCGGUCGCCGAUUAUUCUUCCUAUUCGCUUAUUUCGAUUGCCAUUGAUGAGUCUGACUGCUUUUUUUUUUUUUUUGGAAUUUUUGCCCGAUGAUGCAUAUCAUAAACUUAUUGAGCGGUUGCAAAUGGUAGUUUUAGUUCACUCUGGCCUUCGCUCGCCACCAGUUCCUCCACCGUCUUUUGCACAUAUAUAUAUAUAUAUAUACAUACAUACACAUGCACACACAAACGCACCAGUGUUGUGGUGGCGUGUGAAGGCUUUUGAUGGACGCCAUUUGGCUAAAACUGCGAAUGAUUUGUUGAAAGCUAUGAGAUCUGAGGGCUUUUUUUAUUUAAUUUUUCAAAGCUAUGCAUUUUGCCUGAACGGUGAAUGUGUUUAAUUACGCUAGUGUUGGCUUUGCAUGUAUGCUUCCUCUGGUCUCUGGGCCUGAUCUAUUCCAGUUAGGAUACUUGUUUAGAUGUUGCAUUGGUCAUCUUGUCUUUUGAUAUAUUGAUUUGCCUAGAUUUUUCCGCUAGUUAAAUGCUGGGUGUUUGGUAUUUGUUUUGGACUGUGAAUGAUGAUUCUUGCACUGGGCUCUGAAUUAUUGAUGGAAAUGCAAGCCUAGAAAGCUUUAUCUGACUCCCUUCUCUCUCUCUCUCUCUCUUUAUUAGUCUUGGUGGGUUGUCUCUCUAGGGAAUACGAUAAGCUAAUUGAAUAAUUGCCCAUAAACCUUACUAUGCUUUCAUUCUAUUUCUCUCUGUUUUUGUCCUUAAUAUUUACAAAUUUUUAUUGGUUUUAAAACAGUUGUGGUGUCUGUGCUUCUUAUUCAGAUCCUUUGUAAUUCCUGGUUCAUCAAUUCAUAUUUAAGAGCUUCUUUGUCUUUUGAAUUUGCUAUACCCCAACUGAUGACACCUGAUCAAAUGGGAAGUUGCUUUGAUGCCUCCCAUCUUCACUAUCUGUACUUCUGUCCCCAGUUAUACUGGCUGGUGGUGGUUUUUAUUAUUGUUUGAAUUUAUUCUGUUAUCUGUGAAGAUGUUGAUCGACUUUUAAUGAAAAUCAUGUUUUUCACUGCCCGAAGUUACAAGAGUUUGAUCAGAGGGCUUAUAAAGCUAUCUAAAUUUGCUCUUCUUUUUUUUUUUNNNNNNNNNNNGGGGGGUGUAGACAGAAUAAUGUCACUUUUAAUAAUUUGUGUAAUGGUCCAGAAUAUUAUUAUGCUAUUGAGUUUAUCAACUUUGUUGUGCAAUAGUUGGAUAAUAGGAUACUGAGAAUUAUCUUCCUUUCUCACUGCCCAAUGAUGGAAAAUGAGAAGUUAAUUGAGUGGUUACUAGGACGUCCACUGAGAGCAUUUUGCCAUCUAUACCUGUAUCAGCAUUGCUGUGAUCUCUCUGUCUGUCUCUCUCUUUUUUUUCUUUCUUUCUUUACUAGGGUUGAUGUUGUGAUAAGGCAUCAGUGGAAACUAGGUGCAACCUCGAUGAACUAUUCCAGCUUUGAUAUCUGAGGGCAUUUUUGGAUUAUGUGCAUCCCCAAGGUUUCAGUACAUGUUGGAUGUUAACUUUUAUCUGUAAUCAUUUUCACUUCUAUGCUCUAUGUUCAUUUGAGCCAGUCAUUUUACUUUUACACCAUACUAAUUUUGUCUUCUUAGUCAUGUGUAGUAGACAUUUCAGUGGAAGUGAUCUCAUUGUUCGAGUGGUGACUUUAUUUUCCAUUUGUUAGCUGCCUCUAUUUCGUACUUCACCUCUUACUGUUUUGCUUGAACUCUUUCCCUUCUUCUCAUUAUUGUUAUUGAUGGUGGCGGCAAUGGUGGUAGUCAUUUCCUUUAUAAUUGAGAGGUGAGGAGGUUCUAUGCGAAAAAUAAAGUCCUACUAUGAAUGAGAUGCUUUAAAUAUAGAUGCUGGGAAGGUGGUUGUGCUGCAGAAAUGUCAUCUUUCUAUUUUCUCUGCAUUAGCUGUUGUUUUCUCUUCAUUUUGAUGUCAUGUACAAUAAUCAUUGAGUUGUUUUCAAGUGUUAGUUUUUCUUUUUUGUGUGUGUUUGGGNNNNNNNNNNNNNNNNNNNNNNNNNNNNNNNNNNNNNNNNNNNNNNNNNNNNNNNNNNNNNNNNNNNNNNNNNNNNNNNNNNNNNNNNNNNNNNNNNNAGUCUAUCACAACCACCUCUGUGUGUGUAUGUAUGUUGUUCGUGAUGUGUGUGUGUGUGUGUGUGUGUGUGUGUGUGUGUGUGGCGUGAAAAGGCAUUGAUAAAAACCAUGUGCGUUUAACCACAGAUGAUCUGUUGAAGCUAUGAGAUCUGAGGGCCUAUUAUUGAAUGCAGCCAACGUCCAGGGUGGUUUUUUUGUUGAAUUGUGUGGUGUUAUGAGCUGAAUUCCCAAUCUCUGUAGCAUGUGGGAUAGUUAUAUUUGUUUAGUGUGUAUUUUGUUGAUGGAAAUAAUUUUUUGUGUAGGUAGCUGAUGUUGUCCCUAAAAGAAAGUCUGCGUGAUCUAACUUAUAUUGUAUUCCAUUAGUGUUGGGAAUAGGAUAUCAGAGAUUGGGCAAUUCUAGCUUAGACUUGGUCCAUGUUGGACCUAAGACAAAUGUGUGGUUACAUAUUUUUAUGUUGGUCUCACUAUACCAAUUGUGUCUCCGGUCCACCGUGGACUGGGCUAAGCAAGAAUUUCCUAAAAGAUUUCAAAUGUCUGUUUAUCCUCAUCCUUUAGACCACUUGAUGAAGAAUUGAAGUUGUGAUUUGUUUUUCAUCUUCAAUAUGAAAAAUUGUAAGCUGCCAGGCUGUGUCAGUAUGUGAUGUGAAAUAUGGAUGCUCAUGGAGUAGACCUGUGUCGGUUCUAUGCCACAGCUCCGUGUCAAAGGUGAUUGAAGCUAAAAGCUAUCAAGGUUUACAAAAUUGAAGGCCGAGAUGGCCUAGAGGAAUUGUUGGAUGUUACGGUAAAUGUGAUGUUGAGAUUUCUGUUUGCAGCUAGAUUUUUCAAUUUGUAAGCAUUAAUUUAUUUAUCAAAUGUAAAUAUUUGUGAAACUGAUCGGAUGAUAUUGAUAUGGGAUCAUGGUGAGGAUUUUCAUUGCUCUGAUUUACAAAUAGUAUCAUCGAGUCAUGUUUAUAUUCUUUUGAUUCAUGGAGGGUUCUAAAGUCAGCUACGUUAAGUGCCAACAUUAAAAGGAAAUUAACUUAUUCCUCUGUUUUCUCUCUACUUUUUUGAAUUCCUUUGUAUUGGUUCGUCCUCAACCCUUGUGAUUUUCCCCCUUUUUUAGCAUAUUUUUUCCUUACUUCAUUGUCGUUAAUUUUCAUUUUCUUCUUUUUAGUAGUGAAUUAGUUUUUGCCAUCUAGUUUUUUUAAUUAAAGCCCAAUGACAAUUCAGCAAUUUUGCAAAAAUAGCAGUCUGUCUUUACAACAUCCUUCGUGAAGGGAUUGCAAGUUUUUCUUCUUUUUAUUUUUUUUCCUUAAUUUUUUAUGCCUAAUUUACUAUUUAGUUUAGUGAGAUUAAUUAUUUUGCAUUUCUACGUUUAAAAUUGCAUUAGAUAGUUUUAUAUUUUUAAUUAAUAUUCUAAAAAAUUAAAAUAGUUAAAUUCGUAAAAUUUUUAAUUUUAAAU
rnacentral:lncRNA from 1 species